CUGUGUUUCAUGAAGCCAUUAGAAGACUGUUGCUGAGUGAAAGGAGUCUGGCAGUAACCAAGAACUAAUAGAGGCAGAGCGUCUGUCUUCGGGCUGCUGCUGACAACUUCAUUCAAGCAGGUAGCUCAGUGGCUAAGGAGUUGGACCUGUGGCCUUUUCAAAUCCAGGGCCGGGAGCUGGGGGAAAAAACGGGCCGAAUUGAUCUGACAACUGGAGGGCUGCUGGGUUCACAUCCUCAAAACAUUUCCCUAUCGUUGGGCCCUUGAGCAAGGCCCUUAAACCCACAACAUGCUCUCCAUCCAGGGGCGCGCUGCAUGCAGCUUGAACCUGUG